AGCGUACACGGUGGAUGCCCUGGCAGUCAGAGGCGAUGAAGGACGUGCUAAUCUGCGAUAAGCGUCGGUAAGGUGAUAUGAACCGUUAUAACCGGCGAUUUCCGAAUGGGGAAACCCAGUGUGAUUCGUCACACUAUCAUUAACUGAAUCCAUAGGUUAAUGAGGCGAACCGGGGGAACUGAAACAUCUAAGUACCCCGAGGAAAAGAAAUCAACCGAGAUUCCCCCAGUAGCGGCGAGCGAACGGGGAGCAGCCCAGAGCCUGAAUCAGUGUGUGUGUUAGUGGAAGCGUCUGGAAAGGCGUGCGAUACAGGGUGACAGCCCCGUACACAAAAAUGCACAUACUGUGAGCUCGAUGAGUAGGGCGGGACACGUGGUAUCCUGUCUGAAUAUGGGGGGACCAUCCUCCAAGGCUAAAUACUCCUGACUGACCGAUAGUGAACCAGUACCGUGAGGGAAAGGCGAAAAGAACCCCGGCGAGGGGAGUGAAAAAGAACCUGAAACCGUGUACGUACAAGCAGUGGGAGCACGCUUAGGCGUGUGACUGCGUACCUUUUGUAUAAUGGGUCAGCGACUUAUAUUCUGUAGCAAGGUUAACCGAAUAGGGGAGCCGAAGGGAAACCGAGUCUUAACUGGGCGUUAAGUUGCAGGGUAUAGACCCGAAACCCGGUGAUCUAGCCAUGGGCAGGUUGAAGGUUGGGUAACACUAACUGGAGGACCGAACCGACUAAUGUUGAAAAAUUAGCGGAUGACUUGUGGCUGGGGGUGAAAGGCCAAUCAAACCGGGAGAUAGCUGGUUCUCCCCGAAAGCUAUUUAGGUAGCGCCUCGUGAAUUCAUCUCCGGGGGUAGAGCACUGUUUCGGCAAGGGGGUCAUCCCGACUUACCAACCCGAUGCAAACUGCGAAUACCGGAGAAUGUUAUCACGGGAGACACACGGCGGGUGCUAACGUCCGUCGUGAAGAGGGAAACAACCCAGACCGCCAGCUAAGGUCCCAAAGUCAUGGUUAAGUGGGAAACGAUGUGGGAAGGCCCAGACAGCCAGGAUGUUGGCUUAGAAGCAGCCAUCAUUUAAAGAAAGCGUAAUAGCUCACUGGUCGAGUCGGCCUGCGCGGAAGAUGUAACGGGGCUAAACCAUGCACCGAAGCUGCGGCAGCGACGCUUAUGCGUUGUUGGGUAGGGGAGCGUUCUGUAAGCCUGUGAAGGUGUACUGUGAGGUAUGCUGGAGGUAUCAGAAGUGCGAAUGCUGACAUAAGUAACGAUAAAGCGGGUGAAAAGCCCGCUCGCCGGAAGACCAAGGGUUCCUGUCCAACGUUAAUCGGGGCAGGGUGAGUCGACCCCUAAGGCGAGGCCGAAAGGCGUAGUCGAUGGGAAACAGGUUAAUAUUCCUGUACUUGGUGUUACUGCGAAGGGGGGACGGAGAAGGCUAUGUUGGCCGGGCGACGGUUGUCCCGGUUUAAGCGUGUAGGCUGGUUUUCCAGGCAAAUCCGGAAAAUCAAGGCCGAGGCGUGAUGACGAGGCACUACGGUGCUGAAGCAACAAAUGCCCUGCUUCCAGGAAAAGCCUCUAAGCAUCAGGUAACAUCAAAUCGUACCCCAAACCGACACAGGUGGUCAGGUAGAGAAUACCAAGGCGCUUGAGAGAACUCGGGUGAAGGAACUAGGCAAAAUGGUGCCGUAACUUCGGGAGAAGGCACGCUGAUACGUAGGUGAAGCGACUUGCUCGUGGAGCUGAAAUCAGUCGAAGAUACCAGCUGGCUGCAACUGUUUAUUAAAAACACAGCACUGUGCAAACACGAAAGUGGACGUAUACGGUGUGACGCCUGCCCGGUGCCGGAAGGUUAAUUGAUGGGGUUAGCGCAAGCGAAGCUCUUGAUCGAAGCCCCGGUAAACGGCGGCCGUAACUAUAACGGUCCUAAGGUAGCGAAAUUCCUUGUCGGGUAAGUUCCGACCUGCACGAAUGGCGUAAUGAUGGCCAGGCUGUCUCCACCCGAGACUCAGUGAAAUUGAACUCGCUGUGAAGAUGCAGUGUACCCGCGGCAAGACGGAAAGACCCCGUGAACCUUUACUAUAGCUUGACACUGAACAUUGAGCCUUGAUGUGUAGGAUAGGUGGGAGGCUUUGAAGUGUGGACGCCAGUCUGCAUGGAGCCGACCUUGAAAUACCACCCUUUAAUGUUUGAUGUUCUAACGUGGACCCGUGAUCCGGGUUGCGGACAGUGUCUGGUGGGUAGUUUGACUGGGGCGGUCUCCUCCUAAAGAGUAACGGAGGAGCACGAAGGUUGGCUAAUCCUGGUCGGACAUCAGGAGGUUAGUGCAAUGGCAUAAGCCAGCUUGACUGCGAGCGUGACGGCGCGAGCAGGUGCGAAAGCAGGUCAUAGUGAUCCGGUGGUUCUGAAUGGAAGGGCCAUCGCUCAACGGAUAAAAGGUACUCCGGGGAUAACAGGCUGAUACCGCCCAAGAGUUCAUAUCGACGGCGGUGUUUGGCACCUCGAUGUCGGCUCAUCACAUCCUGGGGCUGAAGUAGGUCCCAAGGGUAUGGCUGUUCGCCAUUUAAAGUGGUACGCGAGCUGGGUUUAGAACGUCGUGAGACAGUUCGGUCCCUAUCUGCCGUGGGCGCUGGAGAACUGAGGGGGGCUGCUCCUAGUACGAGAGGACCGGAGUGGACGCAUCACUGGUGUUCGGGUUGUCAUGCCAAUGGCACUGCCCGGUAGCUAAAUGCGGAAGAGAUAAGUGCUGAAAGCAUCUAAGCACGAAACUUGCCCCGAGA
rnacentral:rRNA from 1 species